rnacentral:lncRNA from 1 species
GUUCCAAUGUAUUUGUGGCCCAUUCCCUGAAUUCUCCUGAUUUCUGGUCUCACACACGCACACACUACAGCCACGGGCGAUCGCAAUUUAACUCUGUCACAGUUCACUUCGGACAAAGAGAUUCCUCGGGACUUGAAUAGCAAGAAUCCGAAAGGGACUCGCGACUCGCAAUGAAAACGUGUCAAGAAAGACGGUUAGACCUCUUUUUCUUCUCUAUCUCUCUCUAUUACGGUUAGACAAAAGAAAUUAGGAAUGGUCAGACCACGAUAUUUUUCACGAACAAGGUGACAUCACCACGAUUCAACUGCAAACACAAUCGACUCUCUACUUCACUUGGAAUCACGCGUAAAUUAAGACACUUGUCGAAUUUGAAACGACGACAAUGGACGACGAACAUACACUCACCGGCAAUUAAUUCGAUGAUCAUCACUCGAAUUUCAAACAGUCAAGUGUCCUCGAGACGGUUCGAUUCUCGAAUCGUAGUUCGUCGACACGAGUAAUCUCCAAUCGAUGCAUCGAUGAUCGCGCACGUUCGAUCUGUUUGGCAGAGAAAAACUAUUGCUUGACGUUCGUAAAUCUACGAGUCGAAUCGAUACGCGACAAAGUUCCGACAACACUCCACGAUACGCAUUACUUCGAAUGUUACCUCUUGAAUUUUUGCACGGGUUCAAAUGUUUCUCGAUCGACGGCACAAUGCGACAACGCACGAAAAUCGUGUCUCAUGCUGCGUCAUGCGAUAGCACGCGACGUAUGUAACUAUCACUCGUGUCGUUUGAAAAUUUUACUUGCGAUACGAUGCGGUUAAUGGUGGCCAAGAGAGGGAAAGAAGAGAAAAAGAGAGAAAACUAUCGUGUCGAAAACGCGUCGUGUCGGUGAGGCGCGAAGUUAAACGCAGCAGGUGCAAAGGGAGAGAAGUAAGCCGAAGUUGCGCGCGCAUCUACACAGUACGACACGGCUCGCGGCUCGCGAGAAACUGCCGGCUGCACGUUAACGCGAUACCCGACCGCCCCUUUCAAGCCGAGGAUCUGGCGCAGGGAUUUGUGGAACGCGAGAAAGAGGUUAGGAUGCAAUUGAAUGCCUGAAAGAUUAUAUUAUACGUGGCUACGAGGGACUAGACGCUAUCGGCAGGCUUCCAGGAAUGGAAGCCCUCCCCCCCGGAUUCGCUAACCAAAUAUUACAGGGAGGAACAACAGGAGGAGGCCGAUCUUGGGUGGAAGAUCAAUAAACGAGGAAAGAUGGAGAGGAGGGAAGAGUUUUUCAGAAGAUUUCCUCCCCGUGAUGUUUGGUCGUGGAGAGGAGGAUGAAGGUGUCCCGGUUUCCAUCGAGAGCGACACGCGUCUCGAAAUAUCUUGGAAGAUGUGGUCGGUCCAAAUGAAAAACUCGUCGCUCGGGCCAAUACGCUCGUCGAUUCUUGACAAACGGCCAGGUGAACGUCAGACAACCGGGGGAGUUGUCGAUUGGAACGAGUGAGAGUGGAGACCAGUUUCGAGAGGAAUGGAGAAGGAAUGAGGUACACGGUGUUGCGAGAUUAAUUUAAGAGCAGAGUUAGAGCAAAAGUUGAUCGACAUUUUAUUGAAGAUUCUAAAAUAAACGAGGCUUAUUUGUCAAGUUAUUUGAUUUUGGUUUCUGGGUGAACGAAAUGGGAUGAAAGUAGAGAGAGAUGUGAAGCUAUUUCUAUCUGUCUUUAUUUGAAUGUAAAUUUCUUGAAAUAUUUAUAUAUUUAGCGUGAUGUAUGAUGAAAGAUCGUUCAAGUACAAUUUUAUUUAUUGGAAUGAAAUUUUAAGUCGUGAAAAUAGGGAACACGGUCGUCAACACGUUCAUUGCCAAGAACAAAGGUAUCCUAAAAUAUGUUUCUUGUCUAUGAAUACAGAUUUUACAAUACACAGAACGGGAAAUACGUGUCAAUCGUUAUUGCGUGUAUAUUAUUCAACGCUUUGAAGAAAUACGACCGGAAGGAAUGGACUGUCAACUACUUCUUCAUUUUCACUAGGCCCCACGAACCAUUUCUCUAUGCCAUAUUUAGAAUAAUUCGAGAAUAGAUAGAUCUAGAAACGUUGAGACGUAAUUCUGACCUAGUUCACGUCUAUCACCUAUUAAAUAGAACACGAGGAUAUUUUAGUUUAGUGAGAGUUUUGACAUCUUUGUUGAUUUUUAACAUCAAGUAAUAAACAUUAAAAACAAGUGCUUUAAUACAUCAAAUUGAAAAAAGAGAUACAUAAUUUUCCAAUUUAAAAAUGACAAAAUAUAACUCAUCUGAUUCCCUCCAUAUUGCAAAAAAAAUUUCAAAACAUGAUUUAUCAAACUUUUACAAAUUUUCCUUACCAAAAAUGAAAUCAAAAAUUCACGAAAAAUAUAAUCCAUUAAAUUGCAUAAACCAUUUCUCCCUCCCAAAAGUACGACAAAUCUUGAAACGAGCCCUAACGAAUUCAAACGGUGUGGAAAGAAUCGUUCUCAAGAACAAGGCACGUUUCGUUCGUUCGUUCGAUCGAUCGAUCGAUCGAUGAUUAUCGAAGUUGAGACAUCGCGCGCCCCUCGAUCCUCGACUGUGCGACUCGCUUACGAGCCAGCCGCGGAUUCACUGGGCCUCGCUUUCGCCUGUGCCGCACACUCGCCUGUGAAAACCCACGCCUCCGUCGUGCCGAUCCUAAAAUAAAUCCCGUGGGAUCCAGUGGAUAGGAUGAGGGAAUGCCAGCACAUGGGAUGUGUCACGAAUAUCGCGCGCUCCUGCACGCUUCCAUGCACGCGAGCCACUCGCAACCGCGGCGGAUUGGAAUUUUAAAAUGCCUUUGCUCCCAUGUUUUUCCUCGUCGAGAUACGCUCUGAACGAUGUUGACCGUAUUUAUCGAUACGUAUUUAUACGUGUGUUACGGAUUAUGAUUUAUAAUGUAAAUUUUUGUAGAAUGUCGAGAGACGAAAUUUUUAUGGAUGGUUUAGAUGACGCGUUUGAUGAAAAAAAGGAGAGAGAUUUAAUGCACGGAAUAAUUUGAAAUGUCUUCUCGGUAUUUUUCCUCCUAGAGGAAAAGUUCUAGGAAAGAGUAUUGACUGUUUAUUACGUAUAUACUCGGACGUGUUACGAUUUAUGAUAAUAAAUUUUCCUAGAAUGUUAAAAGAUGAAAGUGUUAUGGAAAUUUUGGAUGAUGCGUUUUGUAAAUAAAGGAAAGAGAUUUAACGAAUGGAAUUUUAAAAUGUCUUACUUAUUUUUCUUCGUCGAGGUAGCUUCUUCUGGGAAGAAUAUUGGCUGUUUAUUGAUAUAUGUACUCGAGUAUGUUACAAUUGGAUUAUGUUAUGUUAUAAAAUUUAUGGUAUUGUUGAAUAGUUUUGCUUGGGUAUUUUUCGUGGUAAAACAUUAAUAUUAAUACGUGUUUGUUGAUAUAUAUAUUUGGAUCAUCGUAUUAUAAUUUAAUUUAUUUUAUAGUAUGAAUUUUGAUAAAAUAUUAAGAGGAGAAA